rnacentral:rRNA from 1 species
GACAGAGGGUGCGAACGUUGUUCGGAAUUACUGGGCGUAAAGCGCAUGUAGGCGGCAGCGCAAGUCGGGCGUGAAAUCCCACGGCUCAACCGUGGAAGUGCACUCGAAACUGCGCAGCUAGAGUCCUGGAGAGGAAGGUGGAAUGCGUUGGUGUAGAGGUGAAAUUCGUAGAUAUCAAGCGGAACACCGGUGGCGAAGGCGGCCGA